AGUUGCUCAGUUGAUAAAGUAUUGCACUAGCAAUGCAAAGGUCGUGGGUUCAAAUCCCACGAAAAGCUA